AUGGGUCUUCUUGAAACACUGAAUGACUGGGACUGGGACUUUGACCAUAGACUACAUGGGGUUGGCUUAAAGAUCUCUGGUAGUAUAACUCUAGUGCAUAUGCUUCCCCAGAUAUCUAGUUCUUGUUCUUCCAAGAUGUAUCGCACAACCAAUCUCUUGUUCACCCUCAUCAUCCUAAGCAUCACUUCAUUUUCACGAGUGGUGCAUGCACUAGCACUACAAACCCAGUAUGCCCAUGGCAGUGGCUGCAUCCCUGCUGAGAGGGCCGCCUUGCUUGCCUUCCAGAAGGGGAUCACAAGUGACGGCGCUGAUAUCCUCGCCUCGUGGGAAGGGUAUGAUUGCUGUCGGUGGAGGGGCAUCAGCUGCAGCAACCGAACAGGCCAUGUCAUCAAGCUUCACCUUCGCAAUACGUUUCCAGGCCCUGACGCCUAUAACUAUAAUGGGUGUGAUGAUGCCAAUUCAUUGUUCGGCAAGAUAAGUCCCUCUCUGCUUUCCUUGAAGAAUCUAGAGCACAUGGAUCUUAGCAUGAACUGUUUGCUAGGGCCCAAUAGCCACAUUCCUCAGUUUUUGGGAUCCAUGGAUAACUUGAGAUACCUUAACCUCUCUGGCAUUCCAUUUACCGGUAGAGUUCCUUCUCAGCUUGGUAACUUGUCUAAGUUGCAACAUCUUGACCUUGGCGAGGGUUAUUCCGGCAUGUACUCAUCGGACAUCACUUGGUUAACAAAGCUACCCUUGCUGCAGUAUCUUAGUAUGAGCACAAUAAAUCUCUCAAGGAUAGCUGACUGGCCUCGUCCCUUGAAUAUGAUUCCAUCACUAAGAGUUAUCAAUCUUGCUGGAUGCUCACUUGAUACUGCAAGUCAAUCGCUUCCCUACUUUAACCUCACAAAACUUGAGAAGCUUGAUUUGUCCUCGAAUAAUCUAGGCCACUCAAUUGCAUCAAGUUGGUUUUGGAAAGUGACGAGCCUCAAAUAUCUCAGCCUUCGUGCGACUCAGUUAUUUGGAAAAUUUCCGGAUGCACUAGGAAACAUGACGUCACUCAAGGUACUUGAUUUGGCAUUCAACAAUCUGAAUAAGACUGAAAACCUUCAAAGUCUUCUUAAAAACCUUUGCUGCUUGGAAAUCCUCGACCUCUCUAAAAAUGUUAUGAAUGCAAAUAUAGUGGCGUUGAUGGAGGGGUUGCCGGAAUGCGCACAGGAAAAGUUGCUAGAGCUGCAUUUCAGUGAAAACAAUUUCAUCGGGACCUUGCCAAAUUUUAUAGGGGAAUUCAGCAGCUUGAGCAUGCUUGACCUGUCCAGAAACAACCUUGUUGGACCUAUACCGCCAGGGCUUUGGAAUUUGACCCGUCUAACCAUCCUUGAUCUCAGCUGGAAUCAACUCAACGGGAACGUACCAACUGAAAUUUGUUCUCUGAAGAAUCUGGUUUCUCUGAGACUAAGCAACAACAGACUUGGUGGUGCGAUCACAGAAGGACACUUUGCAAAUUUAAGAAGUUUAAAGGAAAUAGACUUGUCUUCCAAUAAUUUGAAGAUUGCACUGGAUUCAGAUUGGCUUUCUCCCUUUAGGCUACAGUCUGGAGAUUUUGCAUCUUGCCAAAUAGGGCCUUUAUUUCCAGCUUGGCUUCAGCAGCUGCGGGGGAUCGAUUCACUUAACAUUUCAAACACUGGUUUACUGGACAAAUUUCCUGAUUGGUUUUGGUAUACAUUUUCAAGGGCAACUGAUCUCGACAUCUCUAACAACCAAAUAAGUGGCACCUUGCCAGCACAUCUGGAUGGCAUGGCUUUGGAAAAACUCCACCUAGGUUCAAACCGGCUCACCGGGUCAAUGCCUUCGUUGCCGGCAAAUAUUACUUGGUUAGACAUCUCCAAUAAUAAGUUUUCAGGAGUAAUACCAUCCGAUUUUGAAGCCUCCCGACUUCAAAUCUUGAUUGUCUAUUCAAAUCGAAUUGAACAACACAGCUAUGGUGUUUUUGGACCUUGCAUGGAAUAAGCUGUCUGGAAGAUUGCCUACAUGGAUAGGAGAUCUGGGGAAAUUAAGAUUUGUACUACUGAGCCACAAUGCAUUUUGUGAUAAUAUUCCGGCCGAAGUAACAAGGCUCAGGAAUCUUCAAUACUUGGAUCUAUCAGCCAAUAAUUUCUCUGGUGCAAUACCUUGGCAUCUAUCAAACCUGACAUCUAUGAAAAGGAUACAAAAGGAAUUCAUGGGUAUGUAUGACACAUAUAAUGCAUCCGCGCACAUUGGCGAGAUGGGAGCUGGUCACCUGGGAGAAAUAUUGCCAGUAGUAACAAAAGGACAUCAACUUUUAUAUGGUGGAGCGAUUGUUUAUGUUGUGAGCAUUGAUCUGUCAGACAACUCCUUGACCGGUGAAAUCCCUACAGACAUCACUUCCCUUACCGAGCUCAUGAAUUUGAACCUGUCGUCGAACAAAUUGAGUGGACAAAUCCCAAACAUGAUCGGGGCCAUGCGGUCACUGGAAUCUCUCGACCUCUCUGAGAACGAGCUCUCUGGUGAAAUCCCAUGGAGCUUGUCAAGCUUGACAUAUUUGUCCGCCCUUAACCUGUCCUACAACAAUUUGUCCGGAAGGAUACCUUCUGGCCCGCAACUUGACACCCUCAUUUCGGACAACAUAUACAUCGGCAACAGUGGGCUUUGUGGGCCUCCUCUCAGCAGAAGUUGUUCAGGAAAUAAUUCUUCCAUCAUUCAUGGCAACGUCGGAAGCAGCAAGCAAGAGCUUGUUCCACUGACCUUUUAUUUCGGCCUUGUGCUGGGACUUGUGGUGGGGCUCUGACAUGUCGCGGGCCGUCCAUGGAGAAUGCCAUGUGAUGAUCCGGUGGUGACAUCAUAGAAGAAGCAAGUAUGAUAAUUAUUGCAUGUAGUAUGUAUUAGCAUAAAUAUAUCCGUGAUAAGUUCUUUUCAUGAUAAACACUUCGGGUGGUUCGAGGGGGCAAAGUACUUGUAUCGUAAGACGUGUGGAUAUGGACUAAUACAGAAUCUAGUCGCUUAAAUAAUGUUGCUUGAUGUAAUACGUGCUGAUUCAGCAGGUAGGCAGGUACUUGGAGACCUCACUAGGCAAGAAGCCAAUCAGGUUAAGGUGACCGGGCAUGCCGUCCUCGUUGCCCUGGCUGGCAUAUCGGGCGAAGGAUCGCAGCGCCUUCUUCCUCGUGUCCACCUCUAUCAUCCAGAUCCUUUCGUUGUCAUCGUGGACGCCGAUGAUGAGACGCCGUUGCUCUCUCCUUAGCAUGAGGCAGAUGGUGUCGCGGUCGUAGCACAAGAACCCGUCGACCGUGUCAGCUUUUGAUCGUGUGGGUAUUGCAGUUUGCUGAAUGUUUCUAUUGUCUGCUAUUUUGAUGUACAUGCCAUCUCAGAGGCUGCGGAUUUUGAAGCGAUGAUACCUUUGUGUUUGUGAUCAGGUCAUUGAUCC
rnacentral:rRNA from 1 species